rnacentral:rRNA from 1 species
AGAGUUUGAUCCUGGCUCAGGAUGAACGCUAGCUACAGGCUUAACACAUGCAAGUCGAGGGGCAGCAUGGUCUUAGCUUGCUAAGGCCGAUGGCGACCGGCGCACGGGUGAGUAACACGUAUCCAACCUGCCGUCUACUCUUGGACAGCCUUCUGAAAGGAAGAUUAAUACAAGAUGGCAUCAUGAGUCCACAUGUUCACAUGAUUAAAGGUAUUCCGGUAGACGAUGGGGAUGCGUUCCAUUAGAUAGUAGGCGGGGUAACGGCCCACCUAGUCUUCGAUGGAUAGGGGUUCUGAGAGGAAGGUCCCCCACAUUGGAACUGAGACACGGUCCAAACUCCUACGGGAGGCAGCAGUGAGGAAUAUUGGUCAAUGGGCGAGAGCCUGAACCAGCCAAGUAGCGUGAAGGAUGACUGCCCUAUGGGUUGUAAACUUCUUUUAUAAAGGAAUAAAGUCGGGUAUGCAUACCCGUUUGCAUGUACUUUAUGAAUAAGGAUCGGCUAACUCCGUGCCAGCAGCCGCGGUAAUACGGAGGAUCCGAGCGUUAUCCGGAUUUAUUGGGUUUAAAGGGAGCGUAGAUGGAUGUUUAAGUCAGUUGUGAAAGUUUGCGGCUCAACCGUAAAAUUGCAGUUGAUACUGGAUAUCUUGAGUGCAGUUGAGGCAGGCGGAAUUCGUGGUGUAGCGGUGAAAUGCUUAGAUAUCACGAGGAACUCCGAUUGCGAAGGCAGCCUGCUAAGCUGCAACUGACAUUGAGGCUCGAAAGUGUGGGUAUCAAACAGGAUUAGAUACCCUGGUAGUCCACACGGUAAACGAUGAAUACUCGCUGUUUGCGAUAUACAGCAAGCGGCCAAGCGAAAGCGUUAAGUAUUCCACCUGGGGAGUACGUUCGCAAGAAUGAAACUCAAAGGAAUUGACGGGGGCCCGCACAAGCGGAGGAACAUGUGGUUUAAUUCGAUGAUACGCGAGGAACCUUACCCGGGCUUAAAUUGCAGAUGAAUUACGGUGAAAGCCGUAAGCCGCAAGGCAUCUGUGAAGGUGCUGCAUGGUUGUCGUCAGCUCGUGCCGUGAGGUGUCGGCUUAAGUGCCAUAACGAGCGCAACCCUUGUUGUCAGUUACUAACAGGUUCUGCUGAGGACUCUGACAAGACUGCCAUCGUAAGAUGUGAGGAAGGUGGGGAUGACGUCAAAUCAGCACGGCCCUUACGUCCGGGGCUACACACGUGUUACAAUGGGGGGUACAGAGGGCCGCUACCACGCGAGUGGAUGCCAAUCCCCAAAACCUCUCUCAGUUCGGACUGGAGUCUGCAACCCGACUCCACGAAGCUGGAUUCGCUAGUAAUCGCGCAUCAGCCACGGCGCGGUGAAUACGUUCCCGGGCCUUGUACACACCGCCCGUCAAGCCAUGGGAGCCGGGGGUACCUGAAGUGCGUAACCGCGAGGAGCGCCCUAGGGUAAAACUGGUGACUGGGGCUAAGUCGUAACAAGGUAGCCGUACCGGAAGGUGCGGCUG